rnacentral:rRNA from 1 species
UGGGGAAUAUUGCACAAUGGGGGAAACCCUGAUGCAGCAACGCCGCGUGAAGGAUGAAGGUUUUCGGAUUGUAAACUUCUAUCGAUGGGGAAGAAUAAAUGACGGUACCCAGGUAAGAAGCCCCGGCUAACUACGUGCCAGCAGCCGCGGUAAUACGUAGGGGGCAAGCGUUAUCCGGAAUUACUGGGCGUAAAGGGUGAGUAGGCGGUUUUAUAAGUCACAUGUGAAAUUCCGUUGCUUAACGACGGAACUGCAUGAGAAACUAUAGAACUAGAGUACAGGAGAGGUAAGCGGAAUUCCUAGUGUAGCGGUGAAAUGCGUAGAUAUUAGGAAGAACACCAGUGGCGAAGGCGGCUUACUGGACUGAAACUGACGCUGAGUCACGAAAGCGUGGGGAGCGAACA